GAGAGAGACUAUAAAAGAUGUAGCAGAUGCAAACUGUAAAACAAGGACAAUUAACCCUUGCUCUCCUGGACCAAAUUUAUCCUAACCUCGUCUUUUGUCUUCCCCCUUUUAUUUAUAUACUAGGCUUUUGCCAUCUAGAAAUGGACUCGCAGGCUCGUCUCUUUAGGCUGCAAACCUCUCACCGCACUUGCAUGAGAGCAAGACCCGCUGAAGUCAGGGGAACUUACUUACGAGAGAGAGAGGAGAGAGGACCCUGAAACACACGCCACCUAUCUUUGUGGGGAGGGAUAAUUGAAGAGCGCCAAACGUGAGCAUCAUGUGGAAACGUGAUCGCCAAGUUUCUCUCUGGGGAAAGGAAGGAUCUGGGAUAGAUUAUACCUUGAAGUCUCCGCGAACGCUUUAGUGGAAGAAAUGAAAUUCCACCUCCCUCUCUCUCUCCUCCUCCUCCCCCUCCCCUCCGCCUUUCCCUCCCUCUUUUCCACCCUCCCCUGGCCUGCCUGCCUCCUUCCCUCCCUCCCUCCCCAGCCAUCAAGUCUUUGGCAUCAUUAUCCUCUUCGCUAAAUCCUACUGAUGCGAGGCGGAAAACGGUGAACACCAUUCACAGAACUAGCCCAACUCAAAGGAACUGAAAGUUGCAAGGAGACACCCGGAGGCUGUGGGGUUCGCAUCCCGCAGGCUUGCUCGCAGCAGCGCGCGGCUAUAUAGAGCAAGACGGGAUCUGCAGCAGGGAAAGAGAGAUCUAGGGAUCGUUUGUUUGUUUGUUUAUGGGCUUCCUCCCUCGAUUGCUUUUCCUUCGCGCCCCUUUCAAAUUGCAGAUGCCAGAGUGAUGGGGCAGGCGGGGAAAAACAAAACAAAACUAUUCAUAAUGAAACUUAGGGGUAGAAAGGAAGACGCUGAAUUAGCCCUGAAGAUAUAUAACAAGUGGCCAAUGAACUCCU